GGUGGGCAGGUCUGGUGUCAGCCGCCGCGGUAAUACCAGCACCCCGAGUAGUCGGGACGAUUAUUGGGCCUAAAGCAUCCGUAGCUUGUCCUGCAAGUCUUCCGUUAAAUCCACCUGCUUAACAGUUGGGCUGCGGGGGAUACUACAGCGCUAGGAGGCGGGAGAGGCAAGCGGUACUCAAUGGGUAGGGGUAAAAUCCGAUGAUCCAUUUAAGACCACCAGUGGCGAAUGCGGAUUGCCAGAACGCGCUCGACGGUGAGGGAUGAAAGCUGGGGGAGCAAACCGGAUUAGAUACCCGGGUAGUCCCAGCUGUAAACGAUGCAGACUCGGUGAUGGGCUGGACUUGUGCCAACCCAGUGCCGCAGGGAAGCCGUUAAGUCUGCCGCCUGGGGAGUACGGUCGCAAGACUGAAACCUAAAGGAAUCGCCGGGGGAGCACCACAAGUGGUGAAGCCUGCGGUUCAACUGGAGUCAACGCCGGGAAUCUUACCGGGGGCGACAGCAGAGUGAAGGUCAAGCUGAAGACUUUACCAGACAAGCUGAGAGGAGGUGCAUGGCCGUCGCCAGCUCGUGCCGUGAGGUGUCCUGUUAAGUCAGGUAACGAGCGAGAUCCCUACCUCUAGUUGCUACCAUUACUCUCAGGAGUAGUGGGGCUAAUUAGAGGGACCGCCGCCGCUGAGNCGGAGGAAGGAGGGGGCUACGGCAGGUCAGUAUGCCCCGAAACCCUCGGGCCACACGCGGGCUGCAAUGGUAAGGACAAUGGGUUUCGAUUCUGAAAAGAGGAGACA
rnacentral:rRNA from 1 species